rnacentral:rRNA from 1 species
GAACGAGCCUUUCGGGGCUAGUGGCGGACGGGUGAGUAACGCGUGGGAACGUGCCCUAAGGUUCGGAACAACUGAGGGAAACUUCAGCUAAUACCGAAUGUGCCCGGAAGGGGAAAGAUUUAUCGCCUUAGGAGCGGCCCGCGUCUGAUUAGCUAGUUGGUGGGGUAAAGGCUCACCAAGGCUACGAUCAGUAGCUGGUCUGAGAGGAUGGCCAGCCACAUUGGGACUGAGACACGGCCCAAACUCCUACGGGAGGCAGCAGUGGGGAAUCUUGCGCAAUGGGCGAAAGCCUGACGCAGCCAUGCCGCGUGGAUGAUGAAGGUCUUAGGAUUGUAAAAUCCUUUCAGCGGGGACGAUAAUGACGGUACCCGCAGAAGAAGCCCCGGCUAACUUCGUG